AUUGAACGCUGGCGGCAUGCUUUACACAUGCAAGUCGAACGGUAACAGGGAGCUUGCUCCGCUGACGAGUGGCGAACGGGUGAGUAAUGCAUCGGAACGUGCCGUGUAAUGGGGGAUAACGUAGCGAAAGUUACGCUAAUACCGCAUACGCCCUGAGGGGGAAAGUGGGGGACCGCAAGGCCUCACGUUAUACGAGCGGCCGAUGUCGGAUUAGCUAGUUGGUGGGGUAAAGGCCUACCAAGGCGACGAUCCGUAGCGGGUCUGAGAGGAUGAUCCGCCACACUGGGACUGAGACACGGCCCAGACUCCUACGGGAGGCAGCAGUGGGGAAUUUUGGACAAUGGGGGCAACCCUGAUCCAGCCAUGCCGCGUGAGUGAAGAAGGCC
rnacentral:rRNA from 1 species